GAUGAAGAACGUAGCGAAAUGCGAUAAGUAAUGUGAAUUGCAGAAUUCAGUGAAUCAUCGAAUCUUUGAACGCACAUUGCGCCCGCCAGUAUUCUGGCGGGCAUGCCUGUUCGAGCGUCAUUUCAACCAUCAAGCCCCCGGCUUGUGUUGGGGACCUGCGGCUGCCGCAGGCCCUGAAAAGCAGUGGCGGGCUCGCUGUCACACCGAGCGUAGUAGCAUACAUCUCGCUCUGGGCGUGCUGCGGGUUCCGGCCGUUAAACCACCUUCAUAACCCAAGGUUGACCUCGGAUCAGGUAGGAAGACCCGCUGAACUUAAGCAUAUCAAUAAGCGGUGGA
rnacentral:misc_RNA from 1 species